AAAGUCGUAACAAGGUUUCCGUAGGUGAACCUGCGGAAGGAUCAUUAAACAUGUGUUUACUCACAUAUCAACCCAAACGUGAACUUGUAUUUAAUCCAAUGCUUAGUAUGGUUUGGAGUCUAUCUGAAAACCGCUGUAGGCUUUUAGGUGGGAUGAUAGACUUUUGUGCCCAGCUUUGUGAGUGGAUCCUCUUAUUUCCUUACUCACCUACUAUUAUUGAGUAAGCAGUUGUUUAACCAAAACUUUUUUAACCCCUAACCUGCUUUGUCAGGUCUUUUUAAUUUGUCUAAUCGAAUAGUCCUCUGUGUAGGCUUUCCGCAAGGAGAGAGUAUGCAUGCUAUUCUUGUUUACGAAACUUGUACAACUCUUAGCAAUGGAUAUCUUGGCUUCC
rnacentral:misc_RNA from 1 species